rnacentral:rRNA from 1 species
ACCUACGGGAGGCAGCAGUCUAGAGGCUUCGGCAAUGGGGGCAACCCUGACCGAGCGACGCCGCGUGUGGGAUUGAAGGCCUUCGGGUCGUAAACCACUGUCAUUGGGGAAGAAUGCCCGGAUGGUGAAUCCGGGAGGGACGGUACCCAAGGAGGAAGCCCCGGCUAACUCCGUGCCAGCAGCCGCGGUAAUACGGAGGGGGCAAGCGUUGUUCGGAUUUACUGGGCGUAAAGGGUGUGUAGGCGGCCGCGCAAGUCUGGUGUGAAAUCUUCACCGCUUAACGGGAAGAGGUCACUGGAAACUGCGUGGCUCGAGUAUGGUAGAGGCAAGCGGAAUUCCUGGUGUAGCGGUGGAAUGUGUAGAUAUCAGGAAGAACACCGGUGGCGAAGGCGGCUUGCUGGGCCAUCACUGACGCUGAGACACGAAAGCGUGGGGAGCAAACGGGAUUAGAUACCCGUGUAGUCCU